GGGGACCCGCAAGCGGUGGAUGAUGUGGAUUAAUUCGAUGCAACGCGAAAAACCUUACCUACCCUUGACAUGUACGGAAGGCCGGAGAGAUCUGGCUGUGCUCGAAAGAGAGCCGUAACACAGGUGCUGCAUGGCUGUCGUCAGCUCGUGUCGUGAGAUGUUGGGUUAAGUCCCGCAACGAGCGCAACCCUUGUCAUUAGUUGCUACGAAAGGGCACUCUAAUGAGACUGCCGGUGACAAACCGGAGGAAGGUGGGGAUGACGUCAAGUCCUCAUGGCCCUUAUGGGUAGGGCUUCACACGUCAUACAAUGGUACGUACAGAGCGCCGCCAACCCGCGAGGGGGAGCUAAUCGCAGGAAGUGUAUCGUAGUCCGGAUUGUAGUCUGCAACUCGACUACAUGAAGUUGGAAUCGCUAGUAAUCGCGGAUCAGCAUGUCGCGGUGAAUACGUUCCCGGGUCUUGUACACACC
rnacentral:rRNA from 1 species